rnacentral:rRNA from 1 species
GGUCAGCGACUUAUAUUCUGUAGCAAGGUUAACCGAAUAGGGGAGCCGGAGGGAAACCGAGUCUUAAUUGGGCGUUAAGUUGCAGGGUAUAGACCCGAAACCCGGUGAUCUAGCCAUGGGCAGGUUGAAGGUUGGGUAACACUAACUGGAGGACCGAACCGACUAAUGUUGAAAAAUUAGCGGAUGACCUGUGGCUGGGGGUGAAAGGCCAAUCAAACCGGGAGAUAGCUGGUUCUCCCCGAAAGCUAUUUAGGUAGCGCCUCGUGAAUUCAUCUCCGGGGGUAGAGCACUGUUUCGGCUAGGGGGCCAUCCCGGCUUACCAACCCGAUGCAAACUGCGAAUACCGGAGAAUGUUAUCACGGGAGACACACGGCGGGUGCUAACGUCCGUCGUGAAGAGGGAAACAACCCAGACCGCCAGCUAAGGUCCCAAAGUCAUGGUUAAGUGGGAAACGAUGUGGGAAGGCCCAGACAGCCAGGAUGUUGGCUUAGAAGCAGCCAUCAUUUAAAGAAAGCGUAAUAGCUCACUGGUCGAGUCGGCCUGCGCGGAAGAUGUAACGGGGCUAAACCAUGCACCGAAGCUGCGGCAGCGACACUGUGUGUUGUUGGGUAGGGGAGCGUUCUGUAAGCCUGUGAAGGUGUGUCGUGAGGCAUGCUGGAGGUAUCAGAAGUGCGAAUGCUGACAUAAGUAACGAUAAAGCGGGUGAAAAGCCCGCUCGCCGGAAGACCAAGGGUUCCUGUCCAACGUUAAUCGGGGCAGGGUGAGUCGACCCCUAAGGCGAGGCCGAAAGGCGUAGUCGAUGGGAAACGGGUUAAUAUUCCCGUACUUGGUGUUACUGCGAAGGGGGGACGGAGAAGGCUAUGUUGGCCGGGCGACGGUUGUCCCGGUUUAAGCGUGUAGGUGUGUGUUCCAGGUAAAUCCGGUUCACUUUAACACUGAGGCGUGACGACGAGGCACUACGGUGCUGAAGCAACAAAUGCCCUGCUUCCAGGAAAAGCCUCUAAGCAUCAGGUAACAUCAAAUCGUACCCCAAACCGACACAGGUGGUCAGGUAGAGAAUACCAAGGCGCUUGAGAGAACUCGGGUGAAGGAACUAGGCAAAAUGGUGCCGUAACUUCGGGAGAAGGCACGCUGACACGUAGGUGAAGUGAUUUACUCAUGGAGCUGAAGUCAGUCGAAGAUACCAGCUGGCUGCAACUGUUUAUUAAAAACACAGCACUGUGCAAACACGAAAGUGGACGUAUACGGUGUGACGCCUGCCCGGUGCCGGAAGGUUAAUUGAUGGGGUCAGCGCAAGCGAAGCUCCUGAUCGAAGCCCCGGUAAACGGCGGCCGUAACUAUAACGGUCCUAAGGUAGCGAAAUUCCUUGUCGGGUAAGUUCCGACCUGCACGAAUGGCGUAAUGAUGGCCAGGCUGUCUCCACCCGAGACUCAGUGAAAUUGAACUCGCUGUGAAGAUGCAGUGUACCCGCGGCAAGACGGAAAGACCCCGUGAACCUUUACUAUAGCUUGACACUGAACAUUGAGCCUUGAUGUGUAGGAUAGGUGGGAGGCUUUGAAGCGUGGACGCCAGUCUGCGUGGAGCCGACCUUGAAAUACCACCCUUUAAUGUUUGAUGUUCUAACGUGGACCCGU